AAUAAUUUCUAGUUUCUAGAGUAAAUUAAUCAAGAACCCAGAAUAAGCAGCAGGACUGGUGUGAUGGGGAAAAGAAGUUUUCAGUUUUGACUGCAAUGAAAACCUCUUUUGCAAAAGCAGCGUCCUCUCUGUUUGUGCUGACUUGGGAUAUGCUGUUCUCGUUCAGACUGCAGGGGAAUUCCCCACUUUGUGGGGAGGGAAGAGAGAUUUCCCUGAUGAGGUCAGGCUAGGACAUGAGUCGCAUGGGGCAGCCAUUUUGGAAGGAAGACAUUUGUCCACGUGGAAGCUGUAAUUCAAAAUGUGGACUUCAGCAAGAGGAAACACCUAGCUCUCUCUUGAAUCCGGGUUUCAAGAAGCACUCACCAGAUAGCUGCACAUCAGACUGCAGGUGUAUCCUCAAAACUCAGAGCAGAGUCUGGCAUAUGUUGAAUCUGAAGAUGAGGACCUCAAGAAUACAGAGGGCUGACUGCACUGACAAAACUCAGUGGAAACCUCUGGAAGAUUUGAUGGUAGAUGGUUUUAUCAUCUGCAGCUGUUCACUCCUCCACUGUGUCAGAGAGGAUUAGACAUCCCUGUUCAUUGCAGGUGACCUCACAUCACCCCCAUAAACGGGGGCAGGUUGUGCUUCCACACCUUGUUGUCAGCCCGGGCCAAUGGAAUCUGAGCAGAUGUGACUUACACCAGGAUGAGCAGAAGCUUCAAUGUGAUUGCCUGCUGUGAUGGCCAAUUUUAGGUGUCAACUUGACUGGGCUAAGGGAUGCCCAGAUAGCUGGUAAAACAUGCUUGCAGGGU
rnacentral:lncRNA from 1 species